rnacentral:rRNA from 1 species
UACGUAGGCUGCAAGCGUUGUUCGGAAUUACUGGGCGUAAAGAGUGUGUAGGCGGUGCUCUAAGUCUGUUGUGAAAUCUCCCGGCUUAACUGGGAGGGUGCGGCGGAAACUGGAGUGCUCGAGGGUGGGAGAGGUAAGCGGAAUUCCUGGUGUAGCGGUGAAAUGCGUAGAUAUCAGGAGGAACACCUGUGGUGUAGACAGCUUACUGGACCACUUCUGACGCUGAGACACGAAAGCGUGGGUAGCAAACAGG